rnacentral:misc_RNA from 1 species
GUGAAUCAUCAAAUUUUUGAACGCAAAUUGCACUUUCUGGUAUUCCGGAAAGUAUGCCUGUUUGAGGGUCAUUUAAAUAAAAAUCGGUGAUGUUGCUGCCUUUCGUGUUGACGCGUCGGAUUUUAGUCUUCUUAGCUUCGGUUAAGCUUCUUAAAAUUGUUGCAUGAUUUUCUAACGUAUUUAAAUCGUUUACGUACGUUUGAGAUAUCGAAUCCUUAUUAGUUUCGUUCAUCCUCGUUACGCGCGCCUAUAAUUUUUUCAUUAACUGUCUUAAAAUCAGGUAA